rnacentral:rRNA from 1 species
CCUACGGGGGGCAGCAGUGGGGAAUAUUGGACAAUGGGGGGAACCCUGAUCCAGCCAUGCCGCGUGUGUGAAGAAGGCCCUCGGGUUGUAAAGCACUUUCAGUGAGGAAGAACGCCUGGUGGUUAAUACCCAUCAGGAAAGACAUCACUCACAGAAGAAGCACCGGCUAACUCCGUGCCAGCAGCCGCGGUAAUACGGAGGGUGCGAGCGUUAAUCGGAAUUACUGGGCGUAAAGCGCGCGUAGGUGGCUUGAUAAGCCGGUUGUGAAAGCCCCGGGCUCAACCUGGGAACGGCAUCCGGUACUGUCAAGCUAGAGUGCAGGAGAGGAAGGUAGAAUUCCCGGUGUAGCGGUGAAAUGCGUAGAGAUCGGGAGGAAUACCAGUGGCGAAGGCGGCCUUCUGGACUGACACUGACACUGAGGUGCGAAAGCGUGGGUAGCAAACAGGAUUAGAUACCCGGGUAGUC